rnacentral:rRNA from 1 species
AUUGAACGCUGGCGGCAUGCUUUACACAUGCAAGUCGAACGGUAACAGGGUGCUUGCACCGCUGACGAGUGGCGAACGGGUGAGUAAUGCGUCGGAACGUGCCGAGUAGUGGGGGAUAACGCAGCGAAAGUUGUGCUAAUACCGCAUACGUACUGAGGUAGAAAGUGGGGGACCUUCGGGCCUCACGCUAUUCGAGCGGCCGACGUCUGAUUAGCUAGUAGGUGAGGUAAAGGCUCACCUAGGCGACGAUCAGUAGCGGGUCUGAGAGGAUGAUCGGCCACACUGGGACGGAGACACGGCCCAGACUCCUGCGGGAGGCAGCAGUGGGGAAUCUUCCGCAAUGGACGAAAGUCUGACGGAGCGACACCGCGUGGAGGACGAAGGCCUUCGGGUUGUAAACUCCUUUUCCAGGGGAAGAAUAAGAGUAAGAGGAAAUGCUUAUCCGAUGACGGUACUCUGGGAAUAAGCCACGGCUAACUCUGUGCCAGCAGCCGCCGUAAGAC